UACAGAGGUCCCAAGCGUUACUGAGAAUCACUGGGUUUAAAGGGUGCGUAGGUGGCACGUUAAGUCAGUUGUGAAAUCCCCCGGGCUCAACCCCGGGAACUGCUUCUGAUACUGGCGUGCUUGAGGCCAGUAGGGGUCACUAGAACUGACGGUGGAGCGGUGAAAUGCGUAGAUAUCGUCAGGAAUGCCGGUGGUGAAGACGGGUGACUGGGCUGGUUCUGACACUGAGGCACGAAAAGCGUGGGGGAGCGAACGGGG
rnacentral:rRNA from 1 species